CCUACGGGUGGCAGCAGUGGGGAAUUUUGGACAAUGGGCGAAAGCCUGAUCCAGCCAUGCCGCGUGCGGGAAGAAGGCCUUCGGGUUGUAAACCGCUUUGCGAGAAUUGCCGGUACCUGAAGAAUAAGCACCGGCUAACUACGUGCCAGCAGCCGCGGUAAUACGUAGGGUGCAAGCGUUAAUCGGAAUUACUGGGCGUAAAGCGUGCGCAGGCGGUUAUGCAAGACAGAUGUGAAAUCCCCGGGCUCAACCUGGGAACUGCAUUUGUGACUGCAUAGCUGGAGUGCGGCAGAGGGGGAUGGAAUUCCGCGUGUAGCAGUGAAAUGCGUAGAUAUGCGGAGGAACACCGAUGGCGAAGGCAAUCCCCUGGGCCUGACUGACGCUCAUGCACGAAAGCGUGGGGAGCAAACAGGAUUAGAUACCCGUGUAGUC
rnacentral:rRNA from 1 species